AAAAUCUGUGCGGGCAAAGUAUUGUUGCUUCUGUGUGUCACUUCAAAAGUAUUUGGACACCAGGCACUCAUCUCAUGUGUUGCCUAUCAAAUGGUCGGUGCGCUGGUAUGAAAACACCAUUGCAGCUUUCGCUCGAUUACCUGAACGAAACGUGCUCAUAACUGCAGAGUGAACUAUCUUUACCUUGGCAAACAGGUUGAAACAGCCCAACUUGCUGACGACACAAUGAACCUCAGGGAGCCUUUUGCCCUUUCCGCUGGGCUUAAAGAAGACAAAAGUUUCAUAUAUCAGACACACCCAUGACAUCAAUGCUCGAGUGUCAACACUCCAGCAAACGCAGUUGGUUUAACAACAUCAGACUCCACGGAGCACAAAGGUAGUAGGUUUAAAAGCAUUUAUAGUCCAAGGCAACAAAAAUCGAACUCAGUCUAUGGUGUUAACAAGCCGUGUUACCUCACAGGCAGCAAUCUUAUGAGACUGUAAAACUAAAAAUCGCUGCCAGGACACAAUAGGCGAAAACCACACAACACAACAGCAAGACCACAUAAUUUCAACCCAAAAAGACUGUGGGGAAGAAAGUGCUUUGACGGUUCCCUGCAAGACAAAAGACGGGAAAUUCUUCUCACUUUCAGUCAUGUGGUUUUUGCUUCACGAUUCACACGCACUGAGCCUACAGAGUUGAGUAAGCAUGUGGCUGGCUGCCAUAUCAUCACACAAACAUCACGCUAAAGUGACUCACCAGGAUCUUACGGCAGUAACAGAACCAGCGGCUCCCGUCUUCUCCGGUCAAGACGAAGGAGAAUGUCUCGCUGGUAAAAACAAAACAAAAAACAAGGAAAGCACAAAGGGGAAGUAGAGAUCAUCAGGGAGCAACUUAAAACAAUGAGAACAUACCGGAGGAGGUAUAUCAGUUUUAUUGGUGCAUACAGAGAAGCAAUGUAUUCAAAAAUAUCUUCAUUACUGUGAUACAGUAGUAUAGACUGACUGACUGACUGCACAACAACAGACCGCCAACUAUUUCGUUAGUAUUACUGCUCAGAUGCCAACAAUGCAUGUAAACGUGAGAAAAAAAUAACUAAAACUUACCCUAGCCCUAGUUUGAAACCCUAAAUUUAUUAUGAAACCCUUACCCUAGGUUGAAAUGCUGACUUUAGUUUGAAAUCGUACUACAUUUAACCAAGAACCCUCACCCAAACAUUUAAACUCCACUGCUAACCCUAACCCAAACCCUAACCCUUGCCCCUAACACUAACCCUAGUUUGAGACCCGAACUUUAAUUUGAAUGCCUACUUUGAAACUACUUAACCCCAGUUUGAAAUCUUAACCUUAUUUUUAAACCCUACUUUGAAACCAAACUCCUAGUUUAAAACCCUACUUUGAAACCCUAACCCCAGUUUAAAAAAACGGACUUUGGUUUGACACUGCAAUACGACACUUAAUCAAGAACCUUAACCCUAGCACUUAAACCCUAAAACCAAUCCUGACAAGAGACAAAGGUUCGAAUUGAAUUGAAGGAGCAAAUGGAAAGCUCUUAUUUAAUAGUUGUAAUAUUAUGUAGUUUGUCCAAUUGGAGUGCCCGUCACGUGACUAUUUUAUGAUAACUCGGAUAUAGUCAAGUUUAUAGAUAUGCCAAGUGUCAUCUUCCACGAUGGCUGACCUUGGUGUGUGCGCUGAAGGCUUCCAGUCACGUACAUCCGGGAAGCAGAAUUUGGGAAUGACCUUUAAUUGAUCUUCAGCUUCUUUGGAGAGUCGAGAUGAUUUUUCAAACUGAAAACAGAACAAUUCAUAUUUAAACCCAGGGGCAAGUCACUUGAUUUGAAUUGCUCAGUGAUUCCCAUUCCAAAAGAUCAUCUACACGAUGAUACAAUAAGGUUUGACGAUUGUCAUCAAUCACUCAUCAUAAUCAGAAGUUACAAACCAUUUUUGGAAACUGUUGCGUUAUUUCAGGGGAGUAGGUAUUGGCUGGGGAACCUUUCCUCAGAGACACCACUACAAAGAUCUGGAAGAGCUGCUGCUGCUGUGCCUGGAUCAGGUCUUUCUCCAGAGUGCGAUAGCCUGGCUUGCGCUUCAGUGUCGACUGUUUAUGAACAGAUCUCCUUAAACCUGCCGGAUGGACACCACACAGUGAGCUUCCUGUUUUCACAAGACAUUUAGGGACCCAAAUAUCCCAAACAUACUACACUGUAAGGGUUAAGAGUCAUUUUAAAGGAUACUUAAGAUACCCUGUGUUCCAAUUUUAAAGGUUUUGUACUCUGCGAUAGAUUUGUAUGGAUAGAUUUAAUGUAUCGGAAUUAUAGUUGAUACGUCAACAUUACAAAAAGGAAUUCUACCAAUGACACAUUUUUUUUUCCCUGACGAAGCCUCCGGUGGCCUCACAUCGGAAUUCUUUACAAGAGUAAAUUUCUACUUGGCGAUUAGUCAUUGACUGCGCAAGCCAAGUCCACAGUUGGAGCUUACAGAGGAGCGACUAAAGAAUAGAGAAGAAAAUAAGAGGCAGCAGGAAAAGGAGUUGAAUGUGGACAGCUGCUCAGAGGCACUUUCUCCUCACACUUUUCUCAUUGCCAAUUAACUUUACAAAAGCUAUCUAGAUGAUGUUUCUUUUUUGAAGGUUUUUGUACGGUUGUUGUUUAUUUGCAAGGACUCAAGAAGACAGAAUACAGACACGAAAAGCCUUUCAUUCUGUGUGCUACCUUUGCCAUUGUCUUCAGGGUCGCUCUCAGUCCCACUGGUCUCCUCUGGCCAGUUAAAAAUGGAGAGAUUAGUGACACGCAGCGCUGCGGAACGGCCUUACAGUCACCCGCGGACAUGUUAUCAAAAAGAAAGUGAAUUCACUCCGCGGACAUGUUAUCAAAAAGAAAGUGAAUCCACUCCUAAUCAUCUAAAUUACUGAUACACAUUACAUCUGUACUUUACAAAUAGCUGUAAGCGUGUGUACGUUUGUGUGUGUGUGCCUGUGUCACCUCGCACUGCAACUCCUUGGUUUUUCACUCGCUUCCUCCCUCGCUUGUCAUCAAAUAUCGUCUCGAUCUUAUUAACGUACUGUGGGGUAUGAAACACAAACAACACGUUUUUGUUAGACCCCAUGAUUCUGGAGCUAUGACAAAAUGAUAGAAUUGAUGCCAUCUGGCUAAAAGGCUCUUAACAAGUACAUUCAAAAUCAUAAAAUUGAAAUGUAUGUUUUAAAAGGCCAUUUUUUUUUUGUAUUUGUGUAACAGAAUAUCAUAAAAAGUUGAAUAAGUAAGGGGUCUAAUGAACAUCGGGGAAGAAAUUCCGGUUGACUUUAAUGGACAAUGGUAAAUGUGCUUUUGUUAAGUGCUUAUAAGCUACAGAAGUCAAGUCGAGGAAUGAACUGUAUUCAAGAUUCAAGAGUUUUUAUUCGUUUUUUAUUCAUAUUAACGCUUACAAUCGAUCUGAGUUAUAAAAUCAUGUCUUGGAAUAAACAUUUACAUUGCAUCCUGCACAGAACUCUGAAAAGUAAUCUAAUAGUAGUACUAGUAGUGGCACCCACAAUAGAGUCGUGACAAAUGCCGUAUUAUUAUAGACCCCUUGAAGUAUGUCAUACACAAUGACACUUUUGUUAUUGGAAGAUGAAAUUACAUGUGGUUAUCGUUACAAAGAGUUGCCAUUAUAGGUCUCUUAUGAAUAGUAAAUUGAUACUGUACCUUAUUAGCAAAGGUCGUUUCUGUCAAGUCACUCUCUACAGCCAUGGCUCAUAGGUUACGUUUUUAUUUAUAUCAAUGCGCUCUUAAGCUACUCAUUUAUCUCUUUAGUUCGGUGUCUUCUACUUCCGUCUAGUAACAACAGCGUCUCCAUUUAUAUCCUCCACCUAAACAAAUGACGUCACUCGUUCUACCACAUUGCAGAAAAAACACCACGUGACUGGCUGAAUGGCACAUGGAAUGCAAGGACAAAACCAAACUAUUACCAGAGGUGUCUUGUGGAUUUUAGGAGCGCUUGUGCGUCGGGGGGUUGCAGCAUUGGCGACGGUUGAUCUUAAAUGUGGCAUUGUCCUCCUCUCCAUUUUGGUUUGGGAUUUUGCGUGGCGCUGUAAAACAAUUAGUCAGAAAUACAAUGUAAUUCCAGAGGAAUGAAUCUGAAGGAAGCUUCGCUAUACAGUGAAGUCAUGCGGCAAAGGGACCAAAAGCACUGCCGCAAAUAGCAAAAUGGACAGAAUAAUAGAUACUCACCCAAAAAGGGUUGUAAUUGCCUAUACGGUUGUGGCAAAACGCAAAAAUGCAACUCCUUCCUUCAGUGAAAAAAAAGGUGCUUGGCACAAAGAUGUAGUUUUAUUUUUGAUCCGAGCUUUGUCAAGCAAGUGAAAUUUCCCAGCAGUUAAUAAAGGAUAUGCUACAAAACAAA